rnacentral:rRNA from 1 species
UACGUAGGGUGCAGGCGUUAAUCGGAAUUACUGGGCGUAAAGCGUGCGCAGGCGGUUUGCUAAGACAGGUGUGAAAUCCCCGGGCUCAACCUGGGAACUGCAUUUGUGACUGCAUAGCUAGAGUACGGUAGAGGGGGAUGGAAUUCCGCGUGUAGCAGUGAAAUGCGUAGAUAUGCGGAGGAACACCGAUGGCGAAGGCAAUCCCCUGGGCCUGCACUGACGCUCAUGCACGAAAGCGUGGGGAGCAAACAGG